AUUGAACGCUGGCGGCAGGCCUAACACAUGCAAGUCGAGCGGAUGAAGGGAGCUUGCUCCUGGAUUCAGCGGCGGACGGGUGAGGAAUGCCUAGGAAUCUGCCUGGUAGUGGGGGAUAACGUCCGGAAACGGGCGCUAAUACCGCAUACGUCCUGAGGGAGAAAGUGGGGGAUCUUCGGACCUCACGCUAUCAGAUGAGCCCAGGUCGGAUUAGCUAGUUGGUGGGGUAAAGGCCUACCAAGGCGACGAUCCGUAACUGGUCUGAGAGGAUGAUCAGUCACACUGGAACGGAGACACGGUCCAGACUCCUACGGGAGGCAGCAGUGGGGAAUAUUGGACAAUGGGCGAAAGCCUGAUCCAGCCCUGCCGCGUGUGUGAAGAAGGUCUUCGGAUUGUAAAGCACUUUACGUUGGGAGGAAGGGCAGUAAGUUAAUACCUUGCUGUUUUGACGUUACCAACAGAAUAAGCACCGGCUAACUUCGUG
rnacentral:rRNA from 1 species